rnacentral:rRNA from 1 species
UAAGCAUAUCAAUAAGCGGAGGAAAAGAAACCAACAGGGAUUGCCCUAGUAACGGCGAGUGAAGCGGCAACAGCUCAAAUUUGAAAUCUGGCUCUUUCAGAGUCCGAGUUGUAAUUUGCAGAGGGCGCUUUGGCUUUGGCAGCGGUCCAAGUUCCUUGGAACAGGACGUCACAGAGGGUGAGAAUCCCGUACGUGGUCGCUAGCUAUUGCCGUGUAAAGCCCCUUCGACGAGUCGAGUUGUUUGGGAAUGCAGCUCUAAAUGGGAGGUAAAUUUCUUCUAAAGCUAAAUAUUGGCCAGAGACCGAUAGCGCACAAGUAGAGUGAUCGAAAGAUGAAAAGCACUUUGGAAAGAGAGUCAAACAGCACGUGAAAUUGUUGAAAGGGAAGCGCUUGCAGCCAGACUUGCUUGCAGUUGCUCAUCCGGGCUUUUGCCCGGUGCACUCUUCUGCAGGCAGGCCAGCAUCAGUUUGGGCGGUGGGAUAAAGGUCUCUGACACGUUCCUUCCUUCGGGUUGGCCAUAUAGGGGAGACGUCAUACCACCAGCCUGGACUGAGGUCCGCGCAUCUGCUAGGAUGCUGGCGUAAUGGCUGUAAGCGGCCCGUCUUGAAACACGGACCAAGGAGUCUAACAUCUAUGCGAGUGUUUGGGUGUCAAGCCCGAGCGCGUAAUGAAAGUGAACGGAGGUGGGAACCCGCAAGGGUGCACCAUCGACCGAUCCUGAAGUUUACGGAAGGAUUUGAGUAAGAGCAUGGCUGUUGGGACCCGAAAGAUGGUGAACUAUGCUUGAAUAGGGUGAAGCCAGAGGAAACUCUGGUGGAGGCUCGCAGCGGUUCUGACGUGCAAAUCGAUCGUCAAAUUUGGGCAUAGGGGCGAAAGACUAAUCGAACUAUCUAGUAGCUGGUUCCUGCCGAAGUU